GACGAACGCUGGCGGCGUGCUUAACACAUGCAAGUCGAACGGAAAGGCCCUGAUUUUGCGGGGUGCUCGAGUGGCGAACGCGUGAGUAACACGCGAGUAAAAUGCCCUUGACUUUGGGAUAACUUCAGGAAACUGGGGCUAAUACCGGAUAGGAGAUCCUGAUGCAUGGUGGGGGUUGGAAAGUUUCGGCGGUUGGGGAUGGACUAGCGGCUUAUCAGCUUGAUGGUGGGGUAGUGGCUUACAAAGGCUUUGACGGGUAGCCGGCCUGAGAGGUUGACCGGCCACAUUGGGACUGAGAUACGGCCCAGUCUCCUACGGGAGGCAGCAGUGGGGAAUAUUGCACAAUGGGCGGAAGCCUGAUGCAGCAACGCCGCGAGCGGGAUAACGGCCUUCUAGUUGUAAACCGCUUUCUCCUGUGACGAAGCGUGAGUGACGGUAAUGGGUAAAGAAGCACCGGCUAACUACGUG
rnacentral:rRNA from 1 species